rnacentral:lncRNA from 1 species
UAGGUAUUGUGCCUUACUCUAAAUGCACCUCUCUAACCUGAGUCUGAAGCUCUGGAGAGCAGGCAGCAGCAGAACAAGAGUUCAGUCCAUUGCUAUAUACACAAACAUGCUAGGACUGAACACGCUGAAAAUGUUUCUUCGUGUGAAACAUCAAGGGAGAAAAGGUUGCUUUUCACAUGGAUUUCUUUUCUCCUUUGGGAUCUUUCUAACAGUUUGUUUUUAAUUCAGAUGGAAAAAUCUAUCUGCCCUUCAUUCCAGUUGCUUCUAAUUCCCCAAUCACUUAACUCUAGGAAAGCUGCAGACAGAGGAAGGAAGUAGAGGGCAAGGAAGACACCGAGUUUACCGAAUACAACAAUUGUUUUUCUAACCCUGUGCAUGUGUGUGGAUGCUUGGUUUGGAAGGCACACCAGAGGGAAGACAAAUCAAUAAAAGCUGUUCUCACAGAAAUCUGAGAAGCUGCAGAUGACAAAAUUAUUUGAUGAGCUGCCCUUUGAGUCAAUGAGCAUUAUUCCAUUGGCAAAAAAAUGUAAACAAGCAAGGAUCAAAUUAAUGCAUAAAGCAAAAGGAAGGGAUGUUGCUGUAAUUACAGUUAAUACAUCUGGACAAAAGAUUACACUCAAGAAGAAGAGAGGAAGGAAGGAUUAUUUCACAGAAUCACAGAAUCACAGAAUUGUAGGGGUUGGAAGGGACCUCAAAAGAUCAUCGGGUCCAACCCUACUGCCAAAGAAGGUUCCUUAGGGGAGGCUGCCCAGGUAGGCGUCCAGAUGGGCCUUGAAUAUCUCCAGAGAAGGAGACUCCACAACCUCCCUGGGCAGCCUGUUCCAGUGCUCCGUCACCCUCACCAUGAAGAAGUUCUUUCGCAUGUUGGUGUAGAACUUCCUGUGCUCAAUUUUGUGGCCAUUACCCCUUGUCCUGUCCCCACAAACCACUGAAGAGGUUGGCCAAAUCCCUCUGUCUACCACACCUCAGGUAUUUAUAAACAUUGAUGAGAUCCCCUCUCAGUCUUCUUUUCUCCAGGCUGAACAGACACAGGUCUCGCAGCCUUUCCUCAUAGGGAAGAUGCUCCAGGCCCCGUUUCAUCUUUGUGGCCCUCCGCUGGACUCUUUCCAGGAGAUCCCUGUCUUUUUUUGUACCAGGGAGCCCAGAACUGGACACAGUACUCCAGGUGAGGCCUGACCAGGGCAGAGUAGAGG